AUGGUGGAUGCCUUGGCGAUUACAGGCGAUGAAGGACGUAGUAGCCUGCGAAAAGCUACGGGGAGCUGGCAAACGAGCUUUGAUCCGUAGAUAUCCGAAUGGGGAAACCCGGCGCGCAAGCGUCACUCCCACCUGAAUAUAUAGGGUGGGUAGAGCGAACGCAGCGAACUGAAACAUCUAAGUAGCUGCAGGAAAAGAAAUCAACCGAGAUUCCCAAAGUAGUGGCGAGCGAAAUGGGAAGAGCCUGUAUGUGAUAGUCAACUGGUUAGUGGAACGGAAUGGAAAGUCCGGCGAUAGAGGGUGAUAGCCCCGUACACGAAAACUGGUUGGUGGUACUGAGCAUACGACAAGUAGGGCGGGGCACGAGAAACCUUGUCUGAACAUGGGGGGACCAUCCUCCAAGGCUAAAUACUCGUAAUCGACCGAUAGUGAACCAGUACCGUGAGG
rnacentral:rRNA from 1 species